rnacentral:rRNA from 1 species
GCGUGAGUGAUGAAGGCCUUAGGGUUGUAAAGCUCUUUUACCCGGGAUGAUAAUGACAGUACCGGGAGAAUAAGCUCCGGCUAACUUCGUGCCAGCAGCCGCGGUAAUACGAGGGGAGCUAGCGUUGUUCGGAAUUACUGGGCGUAAAGCGCACGUAGGCGGCUUUGUAAGUAAGGGGUGAAAGCCCAGAGCUCAACUCUGGAAUUGCCUUUUAGACUGCAUCGCUUGAAUCCAGGAGAGGUGAGUGGAAUUCCGAGUGUAGAGGUGAAAUUCGU